CAAUUUAGUGGCGCACGGGUGAGUAACGCGUGGAUAAUCUACCUGAGGAUCUGGGAUAACAUCUCGAAAGGGGUGCUAAUACCGGAUAAGCCCACGGGAACUUUGGUUCUUGCGGGAAAAGAGGGGGACCUUCGGGCCUCUUGUCAUCAGAUGAGUCCGCGUACCAUUAGCUAGUUGGUGGGGUAAAGGCCCACCAAGGCUACGAUGGUUAGCUGGUCUGAGAGGAUGAUCAGCCACACUGGAACUGAGACACGGUCCAGACUCCUACGGGAGGCAGCAGUGGGGAAUUUUGCGCAAUGGGGGAAACCCUGACGCAGCAACGCCGCGUGAGUGAUGAAGGCCUUCGGGUCGUAAAGCUCUGUCUUGAGGAAAGAAAUGUGAGGGGGCUAAUACCCUUUUCACUUGACGGUACCUCUGAAGGAAGCACCGGCUAACUCCGUGCCAGCAGCCGCGGUAAUACGGAGGGUGGGAGCGUUGUUCGGAAUUAUUGGGCGUAAAGCGCGUGUAGGCGGUUUCUUAAGUCUGAUGUGAAAGCCCCGGGCCUAACCUGAGAAGUGCAUUGGAUACUGGGAGACUUGAAUACGGGAGAGGGCAGUGGAAUUCCUAGUGUAGGAGUGAAAUCCGUAGAUAUUAGGAGGAACACCGGUGGCGAAGGCGGCUGCCUGGACCGAUAUUGACGCUGAGACGCGAAAGCGUGGGGAGCAACAGGAUUAGAUACCCUGGUAGUCCACGCCGUAAACGAUGAGUACUAGGUGUUGCGGGUAUUGACCCCUGCAGUGCCGCAGCUAACGCAUUAAGUACUCCGCCUGGGAAGUACGGUCGCAAGACUAAAACUCAAAGGAAUUGACGGGGGCCCGCACAAGCGGUGGAGCAUGUGGUUUAAUUCGACGCAACGC
rnacentral:rRNA from 1 species